AGAUCCGGGAGCAGCCCCCCGGGGUUGGGUCGGAAGAGUCUGCUGCUCCAUUCCACCGCUCCGGGACUGGCCCCCACAGAGCGAUCCCCAGCACCCCUCUGUGGCACCGAGAACAUCCAGGCUGCUGCCUUGGGUUUUCUACUCUUUAUCACCUGAAGCCUCAGCAUCUGACCACCGACUCUGGGAUAGCCGAGGCCUUCAGCCUCCCAAACCAGCCUUUGCCCAAAGCCCGACUGAGGGAUCCCUACCUGGGGACCUUCAGCAAAUGUCCUUAUUUAGUGAGGGUAGCAGCUAAGCUGUCCUCUCUGCAGUAAAUCAUGCCUCCAGCCAUCAAUGCCUUUGUGGCUUUGGUCCCUAUAGGACUUUAUGACCAGAACUAUAGCAUAUAAACUUAAUUAGUAAGGCCAAAGUCACACUGAUGUUGAAUCCAAAAAUUCACUUAAAAAAUAAUGUAUUUAUUUUGAGACAGGAUUUCACUAUACUAUCCUCGGUUGGUCUGGAACUCUGAGAUCCUACUGCCUCUGUCACCCUAGUGCUAGAAUUAAAGGCAUGUGCCAUCGUGCCCUAGGCUAUUAUGUGUAUGUUUCACCUAUGUGUAUGUCUGCAUAUCAUAUGCAUCCCUGGUGCCCAAGGCUGUCAGAUACCCCGGAACUGGAGUUACAGAUGGUUGUGAGUCACCAUGUGGGUGCUGGGAAUAGAACUCGCGCCUCCGGGCAUCCAGGGCUCAUAACUGCUGAGCCACCUCUCCAGGUCCCAGAAAUUAAUUUUUGAAAACUAGGGAAUAUGAUACCUGCACACAUAGGCUAGGAAAGCAUUGCACUCACUUAGCCCCUCUCCCUGUGGGACUCUGGAUUGCUCCUUUGUGUGUGUGUGUGUGUGUGUGCUACAAAUCUUCACUCAUAAGCUCUGCUUGGUCUAGAAAGGGCUAGUGCUAAAUGAGUAGGGUUGAAAGAGAUGCUAUUUGAAUGAGUAAGAGGACCACUGAGACAGGCACAUCCACACUACCCACACUAGAGUGUGAGCUUCCACUUUAUGUACACAUAGGAUAAGUUACUGAUAGGAAUCCAUUUCUCCACCACAUGUGAUAGCGUCAUAUUUCUUCCACUGUAAACACAUCUCAAAACACAAACCUAAAGUACUCAUCCGUCCCCUAGCUCUCUGACCCCAUCGUAUUCACCAACACAGGCCUGGCUUGGGACCCUUUGAGCCAAGGCUGUCAACCAUUAAAAACCAGAGCUCUCUCUUGAUUUUCUCCAGUCGCUGAGCCUCACACUCGGUACCAACAGCGUGAGAUGAAUUAGUUCGAGGCAGAAGACUAAUAAGCAUAGACCUUUUAUAGAUGGGCACGAGGCUGCAUUACUGACAACGGCUGGGUUCUCUAAAAACUCGGCAGCCAUUUAUUUACAAACGCUGUGAACAGUACAAGAAACGUCAGAGGUCUAAACAGUUAAUGUGAGAAAAAUACCAACAGUUCAUGACACUAAAUUCAACGGUUCCUGGUGCGAGGCGGAACCCUAGAAACCGAACUCCGACUCUGGCUAAGUGGUCUUCCUAUUGCUGUUCGUCCCCUUUCAUCCUUUCAAACCAGGAUGACUUGCGAAACCUCCCCACAGCAGCUCCGGGAAGAACUGAAGCUCUGCGGUCCUGUCAGAUCUUCACAAGGAACUGGCUUCCAUCCAGCUUCCCCUUCUCCUUAAGAAUUGUGAGGACUCGCUACAAUACAGGACAGACACCCAUCCAGCUAUGUGGUAUGACAAGAAGGCAAGAGACCUGGGCCAGCUAUCCAAUCGCUCUGCCCUUCAGGGUGCGCCCGAGGAAGAGAGGAGACAAGGCCUCUCUCAUCACCACUACACUGCUAUAGCUUGUUUAACUCCCCGUCCUUAAACUUCCUGAGAACAGGUCGGAAGGAUCCUCAGGAGGGCAGGGACAGACUGACUGUCAACAACGCCUGGCUGAGGGAGGGCCUGGCAGGAAGGUCUUCAGUGAAUAAUGAACGGCAGCCCCAUGGAAGUGACUGUUGGGAUCUAAUGCCCGUGUUUAUUCACUCAAUGCUUACGGAUUUCUUUUGUAGACAGUUUCACCAUGAAGACCAGGCUGGCCUUUACCUGGAGAUCCUUCUGCUGCAGCCUCCCAGUGCUGGAUUUGCAUGGAUUAGCAUGACAUUGUGGAAGGAGUUUUCUCCACUAAGGUUCAGUAACUCAUAGAAUACCUAGUACUUGUCAUAUAAAAUGCAAGAA
rnacentral:lncRNA from 1 species